GUUGGAGUGAGGAUAAUGACAUAGAAGAUGCAUUCACAAAAUUGGUCUCACUUAUAACUAAUUCUUACAUCCUUUAUUAACCGUUGAGUUUGUUCUGGGUUGUUUUUUCAACCCGCCCCCACACAACGUUUUUCCUUCUUUCCAUAUUAUUGAUAUUUGGUUCAAUAGUAGCGUUGAGGUGUAGAAAAAAUGGAAAAGGCUUGUGUUUUUUGCCUUUCCUUUAUCUCUCUCCCAACGCAAAUAUUUUAUUAAAAAAAAACUAAAAAAACUUUCAGC
rnacentral:rRNA from 1 species